UGCAGUCGAACGGUAACAGCGAGAGCUUGCUCUCGGCUGACGAGUGGCGAACGGGUGCGUAACGCGUGGGUAAUCUGCCCUUGGGUGGGGGACAACAGCUGGAAACGGCUGCUAAUACCGCAUAAUCCCUAUGGGGGAAAGGCUUCGGCCGCCUUUGGAGGAGCCCGCGUCCGAUUAGAUAGUUGGUGGGGUAAUGGCCUACCAAGUCAGCGAUCGGUAGCUGGUCUGAGAGGAUGAUCAGCCACACUGGGACUGAGACACGGCCCAGACUCCUACGGGAGGCAGCAGUGGGGAAUAUUGCGCAAUGGGGGAAACCCUGACGCAGCAAUGCCGCGUGGGUGAAGAAGGCCUUCGGGUUGUAAAGCCCUUUCAGUAGGGAAGAUGCAAGUGACGGUACCUACAGAAGAAGCUCCGGCUAACUCCGUGCCAGCAGCCGCGGUAAUACGGAGGGGGCAAGCGUUGUUCGGAUUUACUGGGCGUAAAGAGCAUGUAGGCGGUUAACUAAGUCAGAAGUGAAAGCCCCGGGCUUAACCUGGGAACGGCUUUUGAAACUGGUUGACUUGAGUCCGGCAGAGGGUGGUGGAAUUCCCCGUGUAGAGGUGAAAUUCGUAGAUAUGGGGAGGAACACCUGAGGCGAANGCGGCCACCCGGACCGGUACUGACGCUGAGAUGCGAAAGCGUGGGGAGCGAACAGGAUUAGAUACCCUGGUAGUCCACGCCGUAAACGAUGAGUGCUAGUUGUCGCGGGUAUCGACCCCUGCGGUAACGUAGUUAACGCGUUAAGCACUCCGCCUGGGGAGUACNGCCGCAAGGCUAAAACUCAAAGNAAUUGANNGGGCCCGCACAAGCG
rnacentral:rRNA from 1 species